rnacentral:rRNA from 1 species
CACGAACUGUGCAAACGUUAUUCGGAAUUACUGGGCUUAAAGAGUUCGUAGGCGGCUUGUUAAGUCGGGUGUGAAAUCCCCUGUCUCAACCAGGGAAUUGCGCUCGAAACUGGCGAGCUCGAGUAAGAUAGAGGUGAGCGGAACUGAUGGUGGAGCGGUGAAAUGCGUUGAUAUCAUCAGGAACACCGGUUGCGAAAGCGGCUCACUGGGUCUUCACUGACGCUGAGGAACGAAAGCUAGGGGAGCGAACGGG